GAUCAAAGACUAACAAUUCCCCAGUGGUUAUGGCGCCAGGUUAAGGUUACCUUGACAUUAUAUCCUGGUCACGUAAGUGGCGAGGGUUCGAAUCCCUCUCUGUUCA